rnacentral:snoRNA from 1 species
CCUCCUUUCAUGGUGGGGAUCGGGCUUGUGGUACCACUCCCCUUAAUGUACGGAGGAAGAGGGAAAGGGCUCUGGCCCCCUCCAUGUCAUGUCUUCUGUGCCGGCAGUUUCCCAUCCGCUGGUUCUAUCCUCAAGCGCCGGGACACUG